CAAAAGACAGCUUGUACAGUGAGUCGUCUAUUUAGGUCCUGUUUGGCAUGGCUCCAAUUCCGGGUGGAGCUGCUCCACUCCAGAACUCCACAUGGAGCCAGCUCCGCUCCAAAACUCCAGAAAAAAAUGGGAUGUUUAGCUAGAUGGGUGCUCUCAGCUCCAAAAAAGAUCGAUUUCAGUGUGGAUUGCCAUUGUUGCCCCCCAAUUAAGGCCUACUUGUCAUCCUCUCUAUCCCAUCUUCUUCCCCUUUUUCCAC
rnacentral:lncRNA from 1 species